GGGGUUUGGAGCUUUUCGAUGUUUGUCUUGUUGCCUAACUACGUCACUUCAUAACGUUCCCAUGACAACAGAGGGAAAUGACUGCUCUUGUGUGAAAUUAACGCAACAUUUUUCAACUUUCUGUUAAGAUAUGUGUGACUGUUUUGCAACAGAAAUACACAUUAUUUAGAGCGGAAAUCAGCAAUUUAUGUGGCGAAAUGCGGCGUA